rnacentral:misc_RNA from 1 species
CUCAUCGCUGCCGUGGCUGCGUCCCCCUCUUUUCCUUGUCGCAGCACACCCUGAAGCUCCUUCGCUGGAUGCUCAAAACUAUAUUUUUGUCGUUGUCUGUCGCGGUCUAUUCUUUCGUUCACGUGCAUACGCCAUUCAACCACCACCAUCCCUCAUCACUCCUCCCACUCACCUCACCCCCAAACCCCAACAUAAGAUACAUAAGCGCGCACAUGCGCUACACCUUUUCACCUGUAAACAAGUAAGCGUGCGACUCUCACGCACCGAGCUCCCGUGUUUCUGUGACUUCGUUUUCUGUGUAUUCGCUGAGUCUGUCCUCACCGACACACACACACGAGCUUGUGCAGAGAGGCAUGCGCGCAAGCCAACUGCUUGAGCAGCUUCAUCGAUCGUAUCCCCACUAGGCGCAUCUUUCCUUUUCCUUCCUUUCGGUCUGUGUGGGUGGUGCGCGCACUUUUUUUUCUUCUGGGCUUCGUUGCGUAUCUCAAAAAACACCGAGACCACCACUUCCACCCACCUCCAAAAGGCACGAAGUUGUCGACCCCUCACAGACAGACCGCAUCAUCAACGGCAGAGCGUUCCAGACUCUCUGCCUCGCUUUAUUCUCUUUGCUUUUCUUCCGACAUCUCCUCCGCCCUCCGUCCCUCGAUCGCGGUUCGACCGUCACCCCUGCGGUCACACGUGUUUCCGCACACGGGUGAAGACAAGUGUCCUUUCCCGUCGUUACCACUUCCCUCCGUUGCCGGCCAGUGCGGCGGAUCGUGUCGAUCUACCCUCCGCGGGGGCAGGCAUGCCUUCAGUGUGAACGCUUCUGAGAGGUCACUGUCCGUUGUUGUCGCUAAGCAGUCGAAAGUGCGGAUCUCAUCAUGAGGCGCUACCGGUCGUGGGGGACAGCUCCGCUGCUCUCCACGCUCCUCAUGGUAGUGCUCCAUUCCUUUGCCCUGCACAGCGCAGCUGCGCGUACGCGAGAGUCGCUGCUAUAUUGCCUCCCUGCCGAGACGGAGCCGCAUGGCCUCAUCCGCUGCGUCAUCCAGGUGCUGGACGGAUACCAGCAGCCCACAACGAACUUCGACCCUUCCGAUUUUAUAGCUCUGACGCGCACCUCGAACGCCACGGCGGUCGUCACGAAGAGCGCGUUGGUGCGUGGCAGCGACAACGCAACCGUCGUCUUCACCCUGUCCGUCUCGACGGCCGCCGAUGUGCUGAUCCGGGUGUACUUGCGGGAGAAUGACGUCAUCGGCGGCAACGCCGGCAUGGGAGAGGUGCGCGGGAGCGGCAUCACAGUUUCUGUGCUUUCAUGGCCGACCUCGCGCCUCGGCCCUAUCACCUGCACGGCGCAAAGCACAGGUCUCGCACUGCGAAGCGCCACCAUCUGCCGCGCCGCCCUCUACGACAAGAGCAACACGCCCUCGGUUGUGCACAGCGCCGACGUGCUGUUCAGCGAGGCAAGCGCGCUAGGCAACUUUGUGUUCACCUCUGGAAUCAAGGAGCUUGUGUUUAGCUUCACGGCGCCGCCGACGGCGCCCGCGCUUGUCGGCACCUUUACGCUAACUGUGAGCCUUCGCGGCAAGGACGCCCACGUGAACAGUGACGGGGCACAAGCGGUUCAGAUUCCGAUUUUAUACCCUGGCGAGGUCGCGCUGUCUGAAACGACAGGCCUGCAAUGUGCAGCGGAGACGCGGCCCAUUACAUGCUUCAUCACGGCAUCUGGUGCACAGGGCCCUGUUACUUUUAACGCCACGCACUUUCGCCUGCGCGUGGAAAGAUCGGUCGGGGCCGUCGCUGCGGCGGCGGAUACGUUGGGCAGACUCACCACCAACGGCUCGGGCGCCGCUACCCGGCACUGGGUCGAUGUCACUGAUACCUUUAGCCUUUCCGUCACCCGCUCCCCACUGCGCCCGUACGUUGGCGUCGUCUCUUGGGAGCCGAAGUUGGAGGACUCCAUGUACGAGGCCAGGCUUCGCGUGUUCGCCUCGACGGAUGGGCAAGAAGUCGGCGCAGCUAGCAGGGACAGUGCCGCAGCCACCGGCAACGCAGCCGAUGUUGCGGGCAGCCCAUACUCCUUCAUGACGGGUAUACUGCCCAACGCUCCGUCCGUGACGCUGCGCGGCUGCCGCGAGUCGGUCAUCGCCUCGGGCAAUACAACAGUGUGCUUUAUCGACCUGGCAAAUGGUGUGUCGGGCGACACCGCCUUCUACGCCAUCACCACCUCGCACCGGGAAUCUUCUGUAUCCAAUUUGACCUAUGUUGCGCACGAUGCCGUCUGUGCGUGUCGAUCACUGUGGUUCACCUAUCACGCCCCAACGGCCCUCAUCAGCCCAGUGGACGACUACAUUGAGGUGUCUAUGUACACCGACGUCGUACACUCGGUCAGCGGUAUGGCCAUAGCCAGCAACGUGCCGCUCCGUCUCGACGUCCUUCCGGUGGUGUCCCGCUCCGGUCACGACACCUCCACAGCGCCGACGGACGCUGUUCUGGUCUCCGUCGGUAUUCUCUUCUACGGCAGCGUGCUCGCUGUCGGUGGCGUGCUCAUUGUGCACCGCUCGCGCAAGGCCGCCCGCAUCCGCCGCAAGCGCGCGCUGAAGGAGCGGGCAAUGAUGCAGGCCAUGGACAGACGCCAGGGCGUACCUACACCAGACGCGGAGAUCCUUAGGGACAACCCAAGCGCCCUGACUGAGACACCGGCGAUGACUACCACCCUAGACGGCGCCGCUGCGGGGCAUGUUUUCCUGGUUCGAGGAGGCGUGGGUCCGAACACUUCUGGGUACGACACGAUCGCCAUGCUGGGUGUGGGUGCUGGAGGGGCGGGUGGUGGUGGUGGAAGCCGUUCAACGUCGCCGCCUUCGGUGCCGGCAGCUGUAGUGAGCAACGUGGCAGUUCUUCAAGAUACCUUCCACUCUGACAGCGACUAGACAGCAGCGGAAAGGCCCGCCAUGCGAUGUGGAAGUAUGCUGUCCCAUAUGCGUACGCGUGUAUGCCUUCAUGCAAGAGGCCAAGUAUGCCGACAUGUACGUGUGAGGGGUGGGGCGAAGGCAAUUGUGGCCUGUGGCUCUACGCGCUGCGUGCGAAGGUCAAGUUCAUCGUUCAACUCCCGUCGCUCUAUCCACGUUGCACACUCUUCCGGCUCCCACCCCUCCAUCUCUCUUGGUCCUCCGGCCCUCCCCUCCCCAACCUAUGGUGGGGUAUCUAUGCGUGUGUAUUAACUGGAACUGCCGCGGACUGUCAUGUGAUUCGGCGCCGGCGCCAACUAAUAACGGAAGCAC